UACGUAGGGGGCAAGCGUUGUCCGGAUUUAUUGGGCGUAAAGAGCUCGUAGGCGGCUCAGAAAGUCGGGUGUGAAACCUCCAGGCUCAACCUGGAGACGCCACCUGAUACUGCUGUGGCUAGAGUCCGGUAGGGGAACACGGAAUACCCGGUGUAGCGGUGAAAUGCUUAGAUAUCGGGUGGAACACCAGUGGCGAAGGCGGUGUUCUGGGCCGGAACUGACGCUGAGGAGCGAAAGCGUGGGGAGCGAACAGG
rnacentral:rRNA from 1 species